ensembl:misc_RNA Metazoa_SRP Metazoan signal recognition particle RNA
GCUGGGUAUGGUGGCAUGUGCCUGUAGUCCUAGCUACUCAGGAGGCUGAGGCAGGAAGAUAGCUUGAGCCCAGGAGGUCAAGGAUGCCGUGAGCCAUAAUGGCACCACUGCACUCUAGCCUGGGUGACAGAGCAAGACCCUGUCUCUA